rnacentral:rRNA from 1 species
AUUGAACGCUGGCGGCAUGCUUUACACAUGCAAGUCGAACGGUAACAGGCCGCAAGGUGCUGACGAGUGGCGAACGGGUGAGUAAUGCAUCGGAACGUGCCCAGUCGUGGGGGAUAACUACUCGAAAGAGUAGCUAAUACCGCAUACGAUCUAUGGAUGAAAGCGGGGGACCGUAAGGCCUCGCGCGAUUGGAGCGGCCGAUGUCAGAUUAGGUAGUUGGUGGGGUAAAGGCUCACCAAGCCAACGAUCUGUAGCUGGUCUGAGAGGACAACCAGCCACACUGGGACUGAGACACGGCCCAAACUCCUACGGGAGGCAGCAGUGGGGAAUUUUGGACAAUGGGCGCAAGCCUGAUCCAGCAAUGCCGCGUGCAGGAAGAAGGCCUUCGGGUUGUAAACUGCUUUUGUACGGAACGAAACGGCUCUGGUUAAUACCCGGGGCUAAUGACGGUACCGUAAGAAUAAGCACCGGCUAACUACGUG